GACGAACGCUGGCGGCGUGCCUAAUACAUGCAAGUAGAACGCUGAAGGAGGAGCUUGCUUCUCUGGAUGAGUUGCGAACGGGUGAGUAACGCGUAGGUAACCUGCCUGGUAGCGGGGGAUAACUAUUGGAAACGAUAGCUAAUACCGCAUAAUAGUAGAUGUUGCAUGACAUUUGCUUAAAAGGUGCAAUUGCAUCACUGCCAGAUGGACCUGCGUUGUAUUAGCUAGUUGGUGGGGUAACGGCUCACCAAGGCGACGAUACAUAGCCGACCUGAGAGGGUGAUCGGCCACACUGGGACUGAGACACGGCCCAGACUCCUACGGGAGGCAGCAGUAGGGAAUCUUCGGCAAUGGACGGAAGUCUGACCGAGCAACGCCGCGUGAGUGAAGAAGGUUUUCGGAUCGUAAAGCUCUGUUGUAAGAGAAGAACGAGUGUGAGAGUGGAAAGUUCACACUGUGACGGUAUCUUACCAGAAAGGGACGGCUAACUACGUG
rnacentral:rRNA from 1 species